rnacentral:rRNA from 1 species
AACGAACGCUGGCGGCAUGCCUAACACAUGCAAGUCGAACGAGACCUUCGGGUCUAGUGGCGCACGGGUGCGUAACGCGUGGGAACCUGCCCUUAGGUUCGGAAUAACUCCCCGAAAGGGGUGCUAAUACCGGUUAAUGUCUUCGGACCAAAGAUUUCUCGCCUUUGGAUGGGCCCGCGUUGGAUUAGCUAGUUGGUAGGGUAAAAGCCUACCAAGGCGACGAUCCAUAGCUGGUCUGAGAGGAUGAUCAGCCACACUGGGACUGAGACACGGCCCAGACUCCUACGGGAGGCAGCAGUGGGGAAUAUUGGACAAUGGGCGAAAGCCUGAUCCAGCAAUGCCGCGUGAGUGAUGAAGGCCUUAGGGUUGUAAAGCUCUUUUACCCGGGAUGAUAAUGACAGUACCGGGAGAAUAAGCUCCGGCUAACUCCGUG